AGAGUUCGAUUCUGGCUCAGGAUGAACGCUGGCGGCGUGCUUAACACAUGCAAGUCGAACGGGAUCCGGCCAGCUUGCUGGUUGGUGAGAGUGGCGAACGGGUGAGUAAUGCGUGACCGACCUGCCCCAUGCUCCGGAAUAGCUCCUGGAAACGGGUGGUAAUGCCGGAUGGUCCAGCAUGCUGCAUGGCGUGUUGGGAAAGAUUUAUCGGCGUGGGAUGGGGUCGCGUCCUAUCAGCUUGACGGUGGGGUGAUGGCCUACCGUGGCUUCGACGGGUAGCCGGCCUGAGAGGGCGACCGGCCACAUUGGGACUGAGAUACGGCCCAG
rnacentral:rRNA from 1 species